AUAUUCACAAACAGACUAGCUUAGAUCUUGAUCUAAUAAAUAUUAUUUUAAGGAUAUUUUUUCUAUCUUUCUGAUGGACAUGAGAUGUUCAUGAAUCUUAAGGUAUUUUUUUGGAAAAGAAGUUCCUUGGUGAAGGAACUGAUACUGUUAAAAGCAAGCUUAAUGAAGCUUGAUAGGUAGAGAAACCAACUCUGACACAAAUCAAUAGAACUAAAGUUGAUUAGAUCAAAUUUGGAGCCCGAUGUAAAGGCAUCUCUGAG
rnacentral:lncRNA from 1 species